UACGGGGGGGGGCAAGCGUUGUUCGGAAUUACUGGGCGUAAAGGGCUCGUAGGCGGCCAACUAAGUCGGAUGUGAAAUCCCCAGGCUCAACUUGGGAACUGCAUCCGAUACUGGAUGGCUUGAAUCCGGGAGAGGGAUGCAGAAUUCCAGGUGUAGCGGUGAAAUGCGUAGAUAUCUGGAGGAAUACCGGUGGCGAAGGCGGCAUCCUGGACCGGCAUUGACGCUGAGUGAGCGAAAGCCAGGGGAGCAAACGGG
rnacentral:rRNA from 1 species